CCCCACGUGACCGCGGCCCCUCACGUUUCUGAGAGCUCAAACCACCGUCUGUGUGCUGCCAACACAGCGGGUUUCCCUGGACCUGCUCCGUGGUUACACUGGGAACGGCCAACAACCGACCGAGGCAUCGCAGUGACACGACUCGGUAGAACCCUUCUGUGUCUUCACAGGGCAGCUGUAGAUGCAGAUCUGAAAAUAAGUGGGUAGCAACAGCAAAAGUGGUCUCAAUGUCUCAAGUAAAAGGCAGAGGACCCAAAUCAGCAGUACUGACCUUUCUUAACUUCGAGAAUUUUAGACAGUACUUUAAGAACUGUCAUUUUUCUUUCUCCUAAAAUAUUUUUUCUGCUAAGAUAUCCGGAAAGUAAACAUCAAGUCAACAAGAA